rnacentral:rRNA from 1 species
CCUACGGGCGGCAGCAGUGAGGAAUAUUGGUCAAUGGACGAGAGUCUGAACCAGCCAAGUAGCGUGAAGGAUGACUGCCCUAUGGGUUGUAAACUUCUUUUAUAUGGGAAUAAAACGUUCCACGUGUGGGAUUUUGUAUGUACCAUAUGAAUAAGGAUCGGCUAACUCCGUGCCAGCAGCCGCGGUAAUACGGAGGAUCCGAGCGUUAUCCGGAUUUAUUGGGUUUAAAGGGAGCGUAGGUGGAUUGUUAAGUCAGUUGUGAAAGUUUGCGGCUCAACCGUAAAAUUGCAGUUGAAACUGGCAGUCUUGAGUACAGUAGAGGUGGGCGGAAUUCGUGGUGUAGCGGUGAAAUGCUUAGAUAUCACGAAGAACUCCGAUUGCGAAGGCAGUUCACUGGACUGCAACUGACACUGAUGCUCGAAAGUGUGGGUAUCAAACAGGAUUAGAUACCCCAGUAGUC